UACAGAGAGUGCAAGCGUUAAUCGGAAUUAUUGGGCGUAAAAGGGUGUGUAGGUUGUUAAAAAAGUUAGAUGUGAAAUCCCUGGGCGUAACCUGGGAAUUGCAUUUAAUACUUUUAUCUAGAGUAUUGUAGGGGAAGUGGAAUUUACCGGUGUAGCGGUGAAAUAGCGUAGAUAUCGGAAGGAACACCAGUGGCGAAGGCGACUUCCUGGACAAAUACUGACACUGAGACACGAAAGCGUGGGGAGCAAACAGGAUUA
rnacentral:rRNA from 1 species